rnacentral:rRNA from 1 species
AAACUGAAGAGUUUGAUCCUGGCUCAGAACGAACGCUGGCGGCGUGGCUAAGGCAUGCAAGUCGAACGGACCCUUUCAAGGGGUAACCCGAGAAUUGGUUAGUGGCGAACGGGUGAGGAAUACUUGGAUAACGUACCCCGAACUCAGGGAUAGCGGCGGACUUCGGUCCUUUGCGAAAGUGCCGGUAAUACCUGAUGACCCCGCGUGAUCGCAUGAUCGUGCGGGCAAAGCUCCGACGGUUCGGGAUCGGUUCAAGGCCUAUCAGCUUGUUGGUGGGGUAACGGCCUACCAAGGCAUCGACGGGUACCGGGCGUGAGAGCGUGACCCGGCACAUCGGAACUGAGACACUGUCCGGACACCUACGGGUGGCUGCAGCAACGAAUAUUCCGCAAUGGACGAAAGUCUGACGGAGCGACGCCGCGUGCAGGAUGAAGUCCCUCGGGAUGUAAACUGCUGUCAGGGGUGAGGAAGACUGACCAGCCCCAAAGGAAGCACUGGCUAACUCCGUGCCAGCAGCCGCGGUAAUACGGAGAGUGCAAGCGUUGUUCGGAAUUACUGGGCUUAAAGAGCAUGUAGGCGGGACGCCAAGUGUCGGGUGAAAACCCCAGGCUCAACCUGGGAACUGCCCGGCAAACUGGCAUUCUUGAGGCAGGUAGAGGUGACCGGAACAACUGGUGGAGCGGUGAAAUGCGUAGAUAUCAGUUGGAACGCCGGCGGCGAAAGCGGGUCACUGGACCUGUCCUGACGCUGAGAUGCGAAAGCGUGGGUAGCGAACGGGAUUAGAUACCCCGGUAGUCCACGCCGUAAACGAUGCGCACUAGGUAUGGGAGGUUUUGACGCCGACCGUGCCGAAGCAAAAGUGAUAAGUGCGCCGCCUGGGGAGUACGGCCGCAAGGCUAAAACUCAAAGGAAUUGACGGGGGCUCACACAAGCGGUGGAGCAUGUGGAUUAAUUCGAAGCAACGCGAAGAACCUUACCUGGGUUUGACAU